rnacentral:rRNA from 1 species
GUGGGGAAUUUUGGACAAUGGGCGCAAGCCUGAUCCAGCAAUGCCGCGUGUGUGAAGAAGGCCUUCGGGUUGUAAAGCACUUUUGUCCGGAAAGAAAUGGCCUGGGUUAAUACCCCGGGUCGAUGACGGUACCGGAAGAAUAAGCACCGGCUAACUACGUGCCAGCAGCCGCGGUAAUACGUAGGGUGCGAGCGUUAAUCGGAAUUACUGGGCGUAAAGCGUGCGCAGGCGGCGAUGCAAGACAGAUGUGAAAUCCCCGGGCUCAACCUGGGAACUGCAUUUGUGACUGCAUGGCUAGAGUGCGUCAGAGGGGGGUGGAAUUCCGCGUGUAGCAGUGAAAUGCGUAGAGAUGCGGAGGAACACCGAUGGCGAAGGCAGCCCCCUGGGAUGACACUGACGCUCAUGCACGAAAGCGUGGGGAGCAAACAGGAUUAGAAACCCUUGUAGUCC